GACAGAGGGGGCAAGCGUUGCUCGGAAUUACUGGGCGUAAAGGGCGCGUAGGCGGGAUGGCAAGUCGGUCGUGAAAUCCCUCGGCUCAACCGAGGAACGUCGAUCGAUACUGCUGUUCUUGAGGAUUGCAGAGGAGACUGGAAUUCCUGGUGUAGCGGUGAAAUGCGCAGAUAUCAGGAGGAACACCGGUGGCGAAGGCGGGUCUCUGGGCCGAUACUGACGCUGAGGAGCGAAAGCGUGGGGAGCGAACAGG
rnacentral:rRNA from 1 species